UGAGGCCUUUCUUCUGGAGACGGAACGACAAGCUUCUAAUCCCAGCUCUGUCACGUUCCUACUGGGCGACCUGGCAGGUACUCGACCUCUCUGACUUGAGGGGAUAUGCACAUUUCUUUAAGAAUGCAUGGAGUGAAUGAAAAUAACAUGGGGGUAUGAACCACAGAGUGAACAUGUACCACAAACAACUCUUGUUGAAAUAUACAGUCCCGGGAAAUGUCACCGUCUUCAUUUACUAAAGUGUGAUGGAGAGGGGGAUUGCUGAACAAUCCCAGGGACAGACGUCAUCAUGGAAUGUCAGAGACGCCAAGGUGGAGUUGUAUUGUUAAAUAACCCCAAACAUUUUUCUUCAGAGGACUUUUGCCAAAGGAACCAUUUUCUAUUUGUAGAAAAUGCAUAUGUGAUUUAAUGACAGGACUCACCUAAACCCCACUCCUAAAG